rnacentral:rRNA from 1 species
UACACACCGCCCGUCACACCAUGGGAGUCGUUUGCUCCAGAAGUGCCUGCGCCAACCGCAAAGAGGCAGGGCCCCAAGGAGUGAACGGUAACUGGGGUG